rnacentral:rRNA from 1 species
AGCAGUAGCCGCGGUAAUACGGAGGGAGCUAGCGUUAAUCGGAAUUACUGGGCGUAAAGCGUGCGUAGGCGGUUCGUUAAGUCUGUUGUGAAAGCCCCGGGCUCAACCUGGGAAUGGCAAUGGAUACUGGCGAGCUAGAGUGUGUCAGAGGAUGGUGGAAUUCCCGGUGUAGCGGUGAAAUGCGUAGAGAUCGGGAGGAACAUCAGUGGCGAAGGCGGCCAUCUGGGACAACACUGACACUGAGGCACGAAAGCGUGGGGAGCAAACAGGAUUAGAUACCCCGGUAGUCCCUGUCUCUUAUAC